GACGAACGCUGGCGGCGUGCUUAACACAUGCAAGUCGAACGGAAAGGCCCUGCUUGCAGGGUCCUCGAGUGGCGAACGGGUGAGUAACUCGUGGGUGAAUUGCCCUCCACUUCGGGAUAAGCCUGGGAAACGGGGUAUAAAACCGGAUAGGGGCCACGUUCAGCGGGUGGGUGGGAAAGUUUUUUCGGUGUAGGAUGAGCUCGCGGCCUAUCGGCGGGUUGGUGGGGUAAUGGCCUACCGAGCCGGCGACGCGUAGCCGGCCUGAGGGGGUGGACGGCCGCCCUGGCACUUAGGGGCGGCCCAGGUGCCUACGGGUGGCCGCAGUGGGGAAUCUUGAACCAGGGGUGCCAGCCUGAUGCAGCGACGCUGCGUGUGGGAUGGCCGUCUUCUUGUUGUAGAAACCCUUCGCUAGGAACGAAGCUUUUUGUGACGGUACCUAGAUAAGAAGCACCGGCUAACUACGUG
rnacentral:rRNA from 1 species